GAUGAACGCUGGCGGCGUGCCUAAUACAUGCAAGUCGAACGCAUAGCGAAAGGUGCUUGCCCCUUUCAAGUGAGUGGCGAACGGGUGAGUAACACGUGGACAACCUGCCUCAAGGCUGGGGAUAACAUUUGGAAACAGAUGCUAAUACCGAAUAAAACUUAGUGUCGCAUGACCCAAAGUUAAAAGGCGCUUCGGCGUCACCUAUAGAUGGAUCCGCGGUGCAUUAGUUAGUUGGUGGGGUAAAGGCCUACCAAGACAAUGAUGCAUAGCCGAGUUGAGAGACUGAUCGGCCACAUUGGGACUGAGACACGGCCCAAACUCCUACGGGAGGCUGCAGUAGGGAAUCUUCCACAAUGGGCGAAAGCCUGAUGGAGCAACGCCGCGUGUGUGAUGAAGGCUUUCGGGUCGUAAAGCACUGUUGUAUGGGAAGAACAGCUAGAAUAGGAAAUGAUUUUAGUUUGACGGUACCAUACCAGAAAGGGACGGCUAAAUACGUG
rnacentral:rRNA from 1 species